rnacentral:rRNA from 1 species
UACCUGGUUGAUUCUGCCAGUAGUCAUAUGCUUGUCUCAAAGAUUAAGCCAUGCAUGUCUAAGUAUAAGCAAUUAUACCGCGAAACUGCGAAUGGCUCAUUAUAUAAGUUAUCGUUUAUUUGAUAGCACAUUACUACAUGGAUAACUGUGGUAAUUCUAGAGCUAAUACAUGCUAAAAAUCCCGACUUCGGAAGGGAUGUAUUUAUUAGAUUAAAAGCCAACGCCCUUCGGGGCUUCCUGGUGAUUCAUAAUAACUUUUCGAAUCGCAUGGCCUUGCGCCGGCGAUGGUUCAUUCAAAUUUCUUCCCUAUCAACUUUCGAUGCGAAGGUAUUGUCUUCGCAUGGUUGCAA